UUGAAAUGAGAAGACAUUCAAAUACCUUGCAAGAUUCAACCACAUAAUUACUAACCCUUGGACCACAUCAAGGACAUCAGAACGCGCUUUAGUCGAGAAUCAUCCACUGGAGGAACAUAAACCAUCAUCAUAAGUUCAUCAUCAACCCUUGGACCCCACUACAAGGACAUCAGGACGCGUUUCAAUCGAGAAUCAUCCACUGGAGGAACAUAAACCAUCUUCAUAAGUUCAUCAACCCUUGGACCCCACUACAAGGACAUCAGGACGCGUUUUAAUCAAGGGACAUCUCUCAUCGUGGGAGAUCAUCGUCGCGGACAACGGGGGACCAUUUCUAACGGGUGCGAAUAGCUCCCAACGGUGAGGGUCAUCUUCCGAUGGCUGGAACCGUCUUUCAAUGGUAAGAAGUCCCUUUCAACAGCCAAGAUCGUCCCUCGCAGGUAAGACUUGUCCCUUUGCGGACAGGAACACCUUCAAGUGGUUUGAGGGUGAUCCCGUCUGCGGGAGGGUGGUACUUGUACCACAUCUUCCGCAGAUGUGAUCAUUUUUAAACAACUUGAAGGUGAUUUCUGUUAGCAAAGGUAUAAGUCAACCCUCCGAAGGGGGAUCGCAGUUGUUGUAAGGUACUUCUAACCACUUGGAAGAUAGUUCCUGGUCAUUGAAAGGUGGCACUUACCACUUGGGGGCUAUACAAUCCCGCUAAAAAUGGUCCCGCGCGCGGACAGGGGACCCGCGUCCCCCACCGGCGUUGAAUUACAAAAACCUUCGAUGUAGGGAUGCACCAUUCGAAAAAUAAAAAAAUUGUCUUUUUUUA
rnacentral:lncRNA from 1 species